rnacentral:rRNA from 1 species
AGACAGAGGGUGCAAGCGUUGUUCGGAAUUAUUGGGCGUAAAGCGCACGUAGGCGGUCAGGUAUGUCGGGUGUGAAAGCCCAGGGCUCAACCCUGGAAGUGCACUCGAAACUGCCUGACUUGAGUCCCGGAGAGGGUGGUGGAAUUCCUGGUGUAGAGGUGAAAUUCGUAGAUAUCAGGAGGAACAUCCGUGGCGAAGGCGACCACCUGGACGGUGACUGACGCUGAGGUGCGAAAGCGUGGGGAGCAAACAGGAUUAGAAACCCCAGUAGUCC